CAAUAGCGUAUAUUAAAGUUGUUGCAGUUAAAAAGCUCGUAGUUGGAUUUCUGGUGGGAGCGAUCGGUCUGGCGCUUAGCGCGAGUACUUGCAUCGUCUCCGGCCAUCCUUGGGGAGAGUCUGUCUGGCAUUAAGUUGUCGGGCAGAGGAUCCUCAUCGUUUACUGUGAAAAAAUUAGAGUGUUCAAAGCAGGCUUAUGCCGUUGAAUAUAUUAGCAUGGAAUAAUAAGAUAGGACUUUGGUACUAUUUUGUUGGUGUGCGCACCAAAGUAAUGAUUAAUAGGGACAGUUGGGGGUAUUCGUAUUCCGUUGUCAGAGGUGAAAUUCUUGGAUUUACGGAAGACGAACUACUGCGAAAGCAUUUACCAAGGAUGUUUUCAUUAA
rnacentral:rRNA from 1 species